UCAAAGUCAAGGUUUGUUUCAGAUGACUUGGGUUUUGUCAAAUAAAAUAGGAUUUAUAUUUUGGGUGAUUUCAAGUGUUUUGUAAUAGUUCUACAAUUGAAAUUUUGUAAAUAAAUGGUUAUAGUUGUGUUCAAUAUGUGUUGUAAAUUUGAGCUUGAUCGAAGGGUUGGAUUGAGGAUUAUUAAGGUUUAAGUAGGUCAAAGUCUCAAAAAGUAUAAUUUUAGGUC
rnacentral:lncRNA from 1 species